rnacentral:rRNA from 1 species
UACGAAGGGUGCAAGCGUUAAUCGGAAUUACUGGGCGUAAAGCGUGCGUAGGCGGUUUGUUAAGUCUGCUGUGAAAUCCCCGGGCUCAACCUGGGAAUGGCAGUGGAUACUGGCAGGCUAGAGUGUGUCAGAGGGUGGUGGAAUUCCCGGUGUAGCGGUGAAAUGCGUAGAGAUCGGGAGGAACAUCAGUGGCGAAGGCGGCCACCUGGGACAACACUGACGCUGAGGCACGAAAGCGUGGGGAGCAAACAGG